AAAAGACGGCCACCAGGGGACCGACGACCGACGACCGCGCACCAAUGACGGAACCCGCGGUCCCAACACCAUUGGUGAGAUAGUCGAACCUGAUCCCUCGCUUCAUUGGCUCGUGUUUCCCCUGGACGGUGGAGGAGGCGGUGACCGGAUCUUUCUCCCGUACAGCCCGAAGUCAAGUCCUUUUAUUUCCCGGAUUCCACCCUCCGAUCGCCAUCUUUAUUAUUUCUAAAGCUCGAACUCUCCUUCCUUCCUUCCUUCCUUCCUUUCCUACUCUACCCCUCGCCCCCCAGAUUUCUCUUCUCUGGUGUUCGACAGUGGAGAUCUGAUGGAGGGAUCACCGGAUCAACGGCCGUCCCUCUUCUCCCCAUACCAGAUGGGCCGCUUCCGCCUCUCCCAUAGGUCAGCUCAUCUCUCCUCUCUUUUUAGAGUAACAGCGAGGGAAAAUAACAAAUUUAUUGGAUUGACGGAAUUGCCCAUAUAUCUCGACGAAUUUACUUUUACUAAAGCUAACUUUUGAGUGGGCUUUUGAGAUAUACUGGGGCUAAGCUUGUAAAGUUAGUGGAGUUUU
rnacentral:lncRNA from 1 species